rnacentral:rRNA from 1 species
UCCACGCCGUAAACGAUGAUAACUAGUUGUUGGCGAUAUACAGUCAGCGACAAAGCGAAAGCAUUAAGUUAUCCACCUGGGGAGUACGAUGGCAACAUUGAAACUCAAAGGAAUUGACGGGGGCCCGCACAAGCGGAGGAACAUGUGGUUUAAUUCGAUGAUACGCGAGGAACCUUACCUGGGCUUGAAAGUUAGUGACGGACGCUGAAAGGUGUCUUCUCUUCGGAGCACGAAACUAGGUGCUGCAUGGUUGUCGUCAGCUCGUGCCGUGAGGUGUCGGGUUAAGUCCCAUAACGAGCGCAACCCUUAUCGCUAGUUGCCA